rnacentral:snoRNA from 1 species
AUCAACAACCGCCGAUAACAUAUAUCAACAGCUUCUGUCUCUUGUCAUGAUGAAGCUGUUUUCGCGUCGCGCGAAGACUGACCCUACCCGACGCUGGGCACCUAGCUUUGAAAGGUCGUUCCGAUCCUUUGCGAUAAUCUGGGAAUCAGCUGUGGUUACAAUUG